UACGUAGGCAGCGAGCGUUGUUCGGAGUUACUGGGCGUAAAGAGUGCGUAGGCGGUUUUCUAAGUUUGGUGUGAAAUCUCCCGGCUUAACUGGGAGGGUGCGCCGAAAACUGGAAGGCUUGAGUAUGGGAGAGGUAAGCGGAAUUCCUGGUGUAGCGGUGAAAUGCGUAGAUAUCAGGAGGAACACCUGUGGCGAAAGCGGCUCACUGGACCACAACUGACGCUGAGGCGCGAAAGCUAGGGGAGCAAACAGG
rnacentral:rRNA from 1 species